rnacentral:lncRNA from 10 species
UUUUAAAAGAUAAAGGAGAAGCGUCAGCAUGAUUACAAAUUACAGAUACUCCAAAUGUCAUUCCCUUUGUUUUUAAGUGCAUUAUGUUUUUAUUCCAGAAGACUUAGCUUAAUUUUGUUUUGCAAGAGUAAGGGAUGUAUUUCCUGAGCCAAUAGCAGACUAUUAAGAUGUUGAGUAACAAGGGAAAUCAACAUGGAAUUGAAGGCCUAAACCACUGGUUUAUAACCAGAUUAUGGGCCCCUUUAAGAAUCUGAUAAGAAUUACGCAUUUUCUUUAUCCCCAGAAUAGACAUACAUAAAAAUAAUGCAUACUAAGUUCCUGGCAUUCAUAGACUUUCCCUAAAUCCAUUAAUCACAAAUUAACAACUCCUGCUGUUAAAGAUACUACAGGCUCUUGAAAAUUUCCCUCUUAGUUCUGGUCUGAAUCACUAACAGUGGGUUAAUUUUCAACCCAUUGAUUAUAAGCAUGAGCCAGUGAAUUUUUAAAAAUUAAAUGAAUAUUCAUAAUUACAAAAGAAAUCACAUGUUCCCUUAGAGUAUUUCUGUAAUUUGACCUGUAUUUCUGUAAUUUCAUGAUUUUAUAUAAGGUAAAUAGAUGCCUCUGCCUAAGUUCUCCAUUGGCAAAGUACAGACGGCACCAACUGCUACCUCUAAUCACAAAAGUAAAGAUGUGAUAUUAAGGAAGACUGAAACCGAAGGCAACAUACAAUUGCAAGGUGUUCUGUAUAUAGUUACACACAGUUUAUCAUGUAUCAACUAGGCCCUAAGGUGAAGCCAGGCACUAAAGACAGGAAUGAAAGUAGACUUCACAUACAGUAAGUAAAGUGGCAUUGCCUGAGUGCUGUGAGACUCAGAUCACAAAAGGCAUUCUUCUCAACAUGAAAAGUAGUAGUAUUGGAUAUAUUCUAUUCUUAAAUGCAGCCUGAAAAGUAAUAGAUACUACAUAGUACUAAUUUCAUUUUCACUGUAUUACUGCCACUUUCAACCACCUCCACCUCGGGUAAACCUAUGAAGCUUACAUUGUGGUAACAAGGAAUUUAUAGAAAGAUUCCAAUGUACCAUCAAUUUAAUUUGUUAUGUGUCAAUAAGCUAGUCCAUGAAUAUAUUCUGGAUAGAUUUUCUCCCUUGGAUACUUCAGAACAUUUCUCCACUCAUUAGUAACUGUGAUGAAGAAAUGAAGCACAUAAGCAUCUGGAAUAAACUGGUAAAAGGAGUUAAUGGCAAAAGAGAGGAUCACUAUUGACUCAACAGAUUUUAGAUUCUGUGUAUUUCAAACAGGAAUACUUCCUAUGUUGUGUUAGCGGAAAAAAGUCUUGACAAUAUUUUUAUUUUUUACCUCA